CACAUACAGCACAAAACGCUAGUAAUAAAAACUGCAUAGUCAAUCCCAUCUCCGUUUUAUUAUUGCAAAGACCUGCGCACGAACUACUACAUUACUACUACUACCUCCAGUACGCACGGCACUACACUACUCCCUACCGUAGUACGCACGCGUCGUCAGGAGGCCAACAGGUACCUGAACCUGAACUCGUACGGGAGGACCCGGACGCGGCCGCCGGCGCCGGCGCGGCGGCCGACCUCCACGGCCCGCACCGCCUCCUGCCGCAGCUCCGGCGGCAGCUGCAGGCAGACCCAGUCCAUGAG
rnacentral:misc_RNA from 1 species